rnacentral:rRNA from 1 species
GACGAACGCUGGCGGCGUGCUUAACACAUGCAAGUCGAACGGUAAGGCCCUUUCGGGGGUACACGAGUGGCGAACGGGUGAGUAACACGUGGGUGAUCUGCCCUGCACUUUGGGAUAAGCCUGGGAAACUGGGUCUAAUACCGGAUAGGACUACGCGAUGCAUGUCGUGUGGUGGAAAGCUUUUGCGGUGUGGGAUGGGCCCGCGGCCUAUCAGCUUGUUGGUGGGGUGAUGGCCUACCAAGGCGACGACGGGUAGCCGGCCUGAGAGGGUGUCCGGCCACACUGGGACUGAGAUACGGCCCAGACUCCUACGGGAGGCAGCAGUGGGGAAUAUUGCACAAUGGGCGCAAGCCUGAUGCAGCGACGCCGCGUGGGGGAUGACGGCCUUCGGGUUGUAAACCCCUUUCAGCACAGACGAAGCGUAAGUGACGGUAGGUGCAGAAGAAGCACCGGCAAACUACGUG